CUUUGGCUCCCAUAAACUGACGGGGUCAUUUAUCACUUACAAAAGCAGACGUUAGCUACCUGUUCAGGAAGACGCAGUGGUGCAGCUAAUGCAGUGAGCGUUAUCAGGAAGCCAGGGAACUGCCCCUGCCACUCUCCUUCCUUGUGACAAAGCUGUGACCCUGUAACUAAGGAAGAGUGGGCGAAGUCCAAGGGAACAGCUCAGCCAGCGGGACCACCCUGCAAGAGGAGAUGGAAGAGAGUCCACAGAAGCCAGCCGCUCACAGCACUCAGACAGUAGCCCUGUGAGGCAACUCAGACAGGCGUCCACCUCAAUGCUGACCGGAGACAGCUGAGCUUAGAAACCAGCAUUCCGAUUCCAGAGGCCAAACUCGACGUUAAACCAUAUCCACUCCCAGAGGAAAGAGAUCAGUGCCGGCAGCUUGCUGGAAUCUUGGUCUCAUUGCUGGGAAUUGAACCCAGGACCUUCCACAUGCUUGAGAACUGGCCCACAGCAAGAGGUGUGUGUAUCCUCCAAGGCCACAUGGAGUAUUAUUGGCUACCAAGGAAGUUCCAAUGGAAUAUUAUUGAUCACCAAGGAAGUUCCAUUACAUUCUACAACAUGGAUGAAUCCUGAAAACCUACUAAAAGAUAUCAAAUACAAAAAUCUAUAUAUUAUGUGUCCAUUUAUAUGAAAUGUCCAGAAAGGGCACAUCUAUAGUCAGAAAAUAGAAUAUCAGUUUCCUAGGGCCAGGGAAUUUGAGGGGAAUGAUCAUUAAUAGAUAAUGAUUUCUUUUUUUUUUUUUUUUGGUACUGGGGAUUGAACUCACAACCUUGUGCUUGCCAGGCAGGUACUGUGCAGCUGAGCCAAAUCUCCAACCUCUGAUACAUGAUUCCUUAAUGGGUUGAUGAAAAUGUCCUAAAACUGAUUUCAGUGGUAGUUGUACAACUCUGUUAAUCCACCCAAUGCAUUGUAUACUUUAAAUGGGUGAAUUAUGUGGUAUUUCUCUCAAGAAAGCUGAUAUAUAACUAUAUAUUUAUACAUACUUCUUCAUAGCACCAUCUAUGUUUAGCUAUAUGUUUACAUGACUAAAUAUACACACACAGAGAAUA